rnacentral:ncRNA from 1 species
CCUGUGGACUGUUAUAUCAAAUGUUAUUAGCGAGCAAUUGGCGAGGGCAGACAGGGUGAAGCAGGAA